AUGUCUGGAAACUUCCUUGCGACACUGUUGUAAGAAGAAGUGAACAAAAAGCAAAUAAACAAAGCAUAUCUUCAUGUUAGACAUUCAAUAUUCAAUGACAUCACAAUUGAACAAAAAGGACAGACCCAGUGCAUAGAAGCUCCCACACAAGGUGGGGUCUGGGGAGGGAUUAUAGGAACCUAGUCUUACCCCUGCAAAGUGCAAUGCAGAGAGGCUGGUUCGAACCCAGGACCUCUUGGCACAAGUGGGGAGGACUUCACCACUGCGCCAGGCCUGCCCUCUGACAUCACAAUUGAACAAAUACAAGAAAUUUGUUUUUAUAACUAACGAGAAGAAACAAUUUCAAAGGACACACAAAUCCCAUGGUAUGAUAUAGGUUUGGACAUUAUAUAAUUCCUAGGAAAUUUACUUAGUAACACCCAACAAAAUAGGUUGAAGAUACUAGAAAGAUUAACAUGAAACUAUGCUACAUUAGCCCACAAAGUAAACAAAAUGCUCAACUGUUGCUUCAUGUAAACACAUCUAAUGGAGGUCAAGUGAAUAAAUUUAGCCAAAAUCAAUAUGCCACAUUGCACAUGGGAAAGCAAAACGCCAUCUGGUUGGACAGGGUAGAAACUAAUCAAUUUGCAAGUAAGAUAGCAUUUGCAUACUUACUAAAAAGUAGACCAUCCUAAAACAAAGUCAAAAUCUAAUCCAUCCUAAGGGAUAACUAAGUUCCAGGAAAAAUAUCACUGUAAAAUACUCCGUUAAUCAAAUUUCUGGUCUACAAGAAAAAAGAGCUUAAUCUUAUUACAAACAUGUUUAUAUAUACCUCCUAAUUCAAUAAUGUCUAAGUGAGUUGCUAACAAAACUCAAAGUAGCAAAGUACACGCUAUCCAUACUGAAGAAAAAAAAUACCAGGAACUAUGAUGAAAUGGAAAUGUUAAAAUAGAAAAAUAGAAUUCAAGCCAAACUUACUCACCAGGAUAGGAAGAGGAAAAUACAAAAUACAACACAAUAGUUAAUAGAUAGACAAUAUUCCCCGCAUAUCUUAUUUUAAGUUCUAUAAGCGCAACUAUUGGUUCAACCUACAGCCUCUAUGACACUAAAGGCCAUCUCCAAAGCGAACCCUCAAAUCACAUGCAUACGUCCGGACUGUGCUGUCCGGACAUAGUUUGCCAUCCAACACCGUCCUGCAUCAGUCCGCUUGUCC
rnacentral:lncRNA from 1 species